GUUGAUACAAGGUCGUUGCCCACGAGGAUCCCAGGGACAAAGUAAGGAGGACCGGGAUUUGGAGGUGGUGUCAGGUUGCAGGGAGAACUAGACCAGAAACAGCAACCAAUCCAGGGGAGAAGGAGUCUCCAUGGGAAAUGGUGAAGGAAACCAGCCGCAACCCAAAGACAGGAGGAGGAGCUCAUCAGCAAUGGGAGAAAAGCCCAGGGUCAAACCCAGGAAGCUUCCUGAUGCUGGGCCCUGGUGGGCGAGGGGCAGGGGAGCCUCAGGCAGGCGUGGUGGGGCGGGGGUGGGGACAGGUGCAGGAGCAGAGAGCAAAUGGCACAGGUGGCACGGACACACCCUGUUCCCAGCUGUGGUGCUGGCCUGAGAGCAUGCGCUCGCUCACCUGGUCCUCACGGGGGGCGGGGGAGCUCUUCAUGGAACACCUUGCGGCAGGUAGAGGUGACAGAUGUGCGGACAGUCCCUGUGGGUCUUGAGUAUCCUCCUACUGCAUGCCCCCCCUUUCAGCACAGAUCCCCAGCCCUUUUCCUCGUGGGUAAGCAGUUCACCCCAGAUAUUGUCAGCCACUUCCUGCCGGGCAGUUCCUUCCUAUCUGCCUUCGUUGUGCUCCUUAGUGACAAUCAGUGGGGAGAGCCUGUCCCUGCUCCCUCCGCCCCUGCUUCCUCUCCACAGGGGACACCCACCCAGCAAGGUGCAUUGAGGGGCUCCUCAGCUUGCCUUCUCUCCUCUACCACCAGCAGCUCCCAAGCUGUUUAGCUUUAGGGCCCUUUUUCAAUCUUAAACAUUUUUGGAGACCCCAAAGAGCCUUGAUUUUUGUUAAUUAUACUAGACAGCUUUUUUUUUCCUUCAAAAACCGUAUUAGAAAGUAAAAUUGAGAAAUUAAAAAAAAAAUAAUUCUUUUAAAAAUAACAGUCAUAAACCCAUGCAUGUUGACAUAAAUAGCGUGUUUUAAUUAAAAAACCCUAUAUUUUUCAAGACAAAAUAGUCUAAUAAGAAGAGCAACAUUAUUUUACAUUGUUUCAAGCUUCUUUAGUGACUGGCUUCGUGGAAGGCAGCUGGGUCCUCGGGUUGUGGUACCUGUGGGAGUUUCUGGAAGAGCGAGCCAGAGGGCCGGGGAAGAGAGACAGACGCCGUCUUCGCAUUAUGGUGAGAACAGCGUCCACCGCAGGAGCCUUCUGGCCAAGCACACUGUGAAGUGGGCAGGGCCUCUCUGAGGUGUGCCGUGGUGGUCAGGAGCCUCAGUGCUGGACCAAGGGCCCACAUCUGCUCCAGGAUCUGCAUCCUGGCCGAGCUCUGGGCGAGAUCUUCCUGCAGGGUUCUUGUGUCUGUCCAGUUCUUGCUGGUGCCGGCUCGUUCACUGCAGGAAGGGGUGUGGGCACCUCCUUGCUCUCGGCUGUUACUCAGAAUCCAUGCCUACAGGACAGGCGGACGUUGGUGAUUUCUCAUGCUGGAAUUAGUUAUCCUUUGCAGGUUUAUAUCUCUUAGUGUAACAAAGGGGUUAAAAACAACAGAGAAAGACAGUGGAAACUUAAGGGUGCUGUGGGCUCCUUAGUUGUUGUGGCCACUUAAUCUCGUUUUAAUCUGUGGUAUCCAUCCACCCUUAUUCUUUGGCAUAAAGGAGUCCUGUGUCCUUAGAUUACAGGCAAAUUCUCAGCAAAAUUUCUGGAAGAACUCAGGUGGAAGGGGAAGAAUCUUCGGCUCCAAACUUUCCCAGAGUGAAAUGUGAGUUCCCUGUUGUGUGUGGUCCCUGCCCCCACGGAGGGGCCCUGUUCCUGGGCCUGUGGAGCUGUGUGGUUUGGUCGUGGGUUCCAUGUCUCCUCGGGGCUGUGCCAGGAGCUAGUGAACAUACGGCCUUUGAAAAAUGGCUUUGGUAAUUUUGUCAUUGUAAAUUGUUGGAAGCACCCUAACUGUCCCUAAGAGAAGACUGCUCAGGGAUAUUACGGGAGGGACAUCCACACAGUGGACACUAACAAGGAUAAAUCCAAGAAGGCGUUUGGUUUUGAUGUGCCAGUGAAGACAGAUUUCCAAGAAGUAGUGUUGAGCUAAGAUGGUGCGGGACAGGGCUCAUGGCAGAG
rnacentral:lncRNA from 1 species